AGUGAACGCUGGCGGUAGGCCUAACACAUGCAAGUCGAACGGCAGCACAGGAGAGCUUGCUCUCUGGGUGGCGAGUGGCGGACGGGUGAGGAAUACAUCGGAAUCUACUCUGUCGUGGGGGAUACCGUAGGGAAACUUACGCUAAUACCGCAUACGACCUACGGGUGAAAGCAGGGGAUCUUCGGAUCUUGCGCGAUUGGACGAGUCGGUGUCGGAUUAGCUAGUUGGGGGGGUAAAGGCCCACCAAGGGGACGAUCCGUAGCUGGUCUGAGAGGAUGAUCAGCCACACUGGAACUGAGACACGGUCCAGACUCCUACGGGAGGCAGCAGUAGGGAAUAUUGGACAAUGGGCGCAAGCCUGAUCCAGCCAUACCGCGUGGGUGAAGAAGGCCUUCGGGUUGUAAAGCCCUUUUGUUGGGAAAGAAAUCCAGCUGGCUAAUACCCGGUUGGGAUGACGGUACCCAAAGAAUAAGCACCGGCUAACUUCGUGCCAGCCGCCGCCGUAA
rnacentral:rRNA from 1 species